UUGCCAGCCCGCUCAGAAACUUAAAUGAAUUGACGGGGCCGCACAAGCGGAGGAGCAUGUGGUUUAAUUCGAUGAUACGCGAGGAACCUUACCUGGGCUCGAACGUAAGAUGACUGUAGGUGAAAGCUUACAUCUCUUCGGAGCAUUUUACGAGGUGCUGCAUGGUUGUCGUCAGCUCGUGCCGUGAGGUGUCGGGUUAAGUCCCAUAACGAGCGCAACCCCUACCUUUAGUUGCCAUCAGGUUAAGCUGGGGACUCUAAAGGAACUGCCUACGCAAGUAGUGAGGAAGCGGGGAUGACGUCAAAUCAGCACGGCCCUUACGUCCAGGGCUACACACGUGCUACAAUGGCCGAUACAGAGGGCAGCUACCUGGUGACAGGAUGCAAAUCUCCAAAGUCGGUCUCAGUUCGGAUCGGAGUCUGCAACCCGACUCCGUGAAGUUGGAUUCGCUAGUAAUCGCGCAUCAGCCAUGGCGCGGUGAAUACGUUCCCGGGCCUU
rnacentral:rRNA from 1 species